rnacentral:rRNA from 1 species
GACGAACGCUGGCGGCGUGCUUAACACAUGCAAGUCGAACGGAAAGGCCCUGCUUUUGUUGGGUGCUCGAGUGGCGAACGGGUGAGUAACACGUGAGUAACCCCCCCUUGACUUUCGGAUAACUUCACGGAACUGGGGCUAAUACCGCGUAGGAUCUCCUGCUGCAUGGUGGGGGUUGGAAAGAUUCGGCGGUUGGGGAUGGAAUGGCGGCUUAUCAGCUUGUUUGUGGGGUAGUGGCUUACCAAGGCUUAGACGGGUAGCCUGCCUGAGAGGGUUACCGGCGACAUGGGGACUGAGAUACGCCCCAGACGCCUACGGGCGGCAGCAGGGGGAAAUCUUGCACAAUGGGCGGAAGCCUGAUGCAGCAACGCCGGGUGCGGGAUGCCGUCUUUCGGGUUGUGAACAGCUUUCGCAUGUGACGAAGAGGGAGUGACGGUAAUGGGUAAAGAAGCCCCGGCUAACUACGUG